rnacentral:rRNA from 1 species
GACGAACGCUGGCGGCGUGCUUAACACAUGCAAGUCGAGCGGUAAGGCCUUUCGGGGUACACGAGCGGCGAACGGGUGAGUAACACGUGAGUGAUCUGCCCUGCACUUCGGGAUAAGCCUGGGAAACUGGGUCUAAUACCGGAUAUGACCUCCUAUCGCAUGGUGGGUGGUGGAAAGAUUUAUCGGUGCAGGAUGGGCCCGCGGCCUAUCAGCUUGUUGGUGGGGUAAUGGCCUACCAAGGCGACGACGGGUAGCCGACCUGAGAGGGUGACCGGCCACACUGGGACUGAGACACGGCCCAGACUCCUACGGGAGGCAGCAGUGGGGAAUAUUGCACAAUGGGCGAAAGCCUGAUGCAGCGACGCCGCGUGAGGGAUGACGGCCUUCGGGUUGUAAACCUCUUUCAGCAGGGACGAAGCGCAAGUGACGGUACCUGCAGAAGAAGCACCGGCUAACUACGUG